AGUCCUAUAUUAUAGUUUUAGUAUUUUUGUCUUCAGAACAAAAGGUAUUAGGCUUG
rnacentral:tRNA from 1 species